rnacentral:rRNA from 1 species
AACGAACGCUGGCGGCAUGCCUAACACAUGCAAGUCGAACGGGAUCCUAGCUUGCUAGGUGAGAGUGGCGGACGGGUGAGUAACACGUGGGAAUCUGCCUUUUGGUUCGGGAUAACCGCGGGAAACUGCGGCUAAUACCGAAUGCCUUCGUGAGAGGAAAGAUUUAUCGCCAGAAGAGGAGCCCGCGUCCGAUUAGGUAGUUGGUGGGGUAAAGGCCUACCAAGCCGACGAUCGGUAGCUGGUCUGAGAGGAUGAUCAGCCACACUGGGACUGAGAUACGGCCCAGACUCCUACGGGAGGCAGCAGUGGGGAAUAUUGGACAAUGGGGGCAACCCUGAUCCAGCAAUGCCGCGUGAGUGAUGAAGGCCUUAGGGUUGUAAAGCCCUUUUGCCAGGGAAGAUGAUGACUGUACCUGGAGAAUAAGCCCCGGCUAACUUCGUGCCAGCAGCCGCGGUAAU